CCCUUAGAUGUUCUGGGCCGCACGCGCGCUACACUGACGAAUGCAACGAGCUUAUAACCUUGGCCGAAAGGUCUGGGUAAUCUCCAAAUUUCGUCGUGAUGGGGAUAGAUUAUUGCAAUUAUUAAUCUUCAACGAGGAAUGCCUAGUAAGCGCAAGUCAUCAGCUUGCGUUGAUUACGUCCCUGCCCUUUGUACACACCGCCCGUCGCUCCUACCGAUUGAAUGGUCCGGUGAAGCGUUCGGACCGUGGCCUUUGGACGGUUCGCCGUCUGUUGGCUGCGGGAAGUUCGUUAAACCUUAUCAUUUAGAGGAAGUAGAAGUCGUAACA
rnacentral:rRNA from 1 species